GAUGAACGCUGGCGGCGUGCCUAAUACAUGCAAGUCGAGCGAACAGACGAGGAGCUUGCUCCUCUGACGUUAGCGGCGGACGGGUGAGUAACACGUGGAUAACCUACCUAUAAGACUGGGAUAACUUCGGGAAACCGGAGCUAAUACCGGAUAAUAUAUUGAACCGCAUGGUUCAAUAGUGAAAGACGGUUGUGCUGUCACUUCUAGAUGGAUCCGCGCCGCAUUAGCUAGUUGGUAAGGUAACGGCUUACCAAGGCGACGAUGCGUAGCCGACCUGAGAGGGUGAUCGGCCACACUGGAACUGAGACACGGUCCAGACUCCUACGGGAGGCAGCAGUAGGGAAUCUUCCGCAAUGGGCGAAAGCCUGACGGAGCAACGCCGCGUGAGUGAUGAAGGUCUUCGGAUCGUAAAACUCUGUUAUUAGGGAAGAACAAAUGUGUAAGUAACGAUGCACGUCUUGACGGUACCUAAUCAGAAAGCCACGGCUAACUACGU
rnacentral:rRNA from 1 species